GUGGGGAAUAUUGGACAAUGGGCGAAAGCCUGAUCCAGCCAUGCCGCGUGUGUGAAGAAGGUCUUCGGAUUGUAAAGCACUUUAAGUUGGGAGGAAGGGCAGUAAGUUAAUACCUUGCUGUUUUGACGUUACCGACAGAAUAAGCACCGGCUAACUUCGUGCCAGCAGCCGCGGUAAUACGAAGGGUGCAAGCGUUAAUCGGAAUUACUGGGCGUAAAGCGCGCGUAGGUGGUUUUGUAAGUUGGAGGUGAAAUCCCCGGGCUCACCCUGGGAACUGACUCCAGAACUGAAUGACUAGAGUACGGUAGAGGGUAGUGGAAUUUCCUGUGUAGCGGUGAAAUGCGUAGAUAUAGGAAGGAACACCAGUGGCGAAGGCGACUACCUGGACUGAUACUGACACUGAGGUGCGAAAGCGUGGGGAGCAAACAGGAUUAGAAACCCGAGUAGUCC
rnacentral:rRNA from 1 species